GAACUGUUGUUUAUUCCCCACGCACAGAAAAGCCGAGGGGGAUGAGGCCGAAACCGAAAACCGAUACAGCUCUUUCAGUAGAACUGUCCGCGCCAAAUGCGGCGAUUCGCAAUGCAGCCAAGAGAAGCCUUGGCUUUCUGGCACGACAAUUAGCAGUUAAAUCCUACUACGCUGCGCUUCCAUCAUUCAAAUUUUUGCACAAAAAAAACCAUAAAACAAUCCCAUACAAUACAAAUUCCAUC